AUUUUUUACUCUCUUAUUAUGGUAGAAUAAAAACAGAUCACAUCCGAUUUUUUGCGUAUAUAUUAAGAGGUAUUAUUGAACGACAAAAGAAAAUUAUUUUAUGUCAAAAAAAUUGCUGAAAUAUCAAUGAUCUCGUUGAUUGACAUUUUUUGCGGCCGUCAACUUCUUGGCUAGGCUUCUAAAAAUUGGAGACGUAGGCCUGUAUUUUGUAAAAAGUGCCAUUUUUACCUGUGCUUUUUGACAUCAAAAUAGUUAAACAAUUGCCAAAAUGCCAUUUUUCUCGGAAAAGCGCUCUAUCACGCACUUGAGUAUAAAAAUGUCUAUAAACUACGCUUUAAUUUAGAUAAAUCGGUUAAAUAAUUUGCUCGCAAUUUCGACGGCCGGAUAAAAAAGAUAGUUUCGAGGAAUCGACCCUCAAAGUUUUGGUACCUAUGUAGCCGCUGAUGUAGAUUAGCGCCUAAGGGCAUUAUGGCAAUAAUUUGUUAUUUUGUUACGAAAGUUAAUGUGAUGACAGUCCAUGCUCAUCUGAAUAACUGGAGGAAGAAAAAUGAAUGCUGGUAUUGUCACUAGCGAAGCGAAUGAAAUUUUAGGCGAAUUUCGCUAUUUCGAAUUGCGAGUAGCGAGCGCACAGUAAAUUCGCCACGAAGUGACGAAAGAACUAGCGAAAAUGAAUAUUUGGUAUUGUCACUUGCGAAUUUAUAAAAUUCGCUUCGCCUCAACUGUCAAAAUUUGGCGUACGUUUAUUUGAUUCGAGAAUCUAAUUAAAAAUGGAGAAAACGUUAGUAAAAUUUUAAAAAUUUAUUUAUUGUAUUUAAUUCAUUACAAAUUUAAUUGUUUUUAGAAUAAAACGAACUACUCAAAAGCAAUUUGAGGUACUGGUGAAGUUGAUGAAAGGAAAUCCUGAGUUAGCCAGAGGAAUGACGCCGUUUGGCUCAACAAAAAAAAAAUAGGAUGGAGUUGUGGAAAGGUAUUUAACUUCAGAGUUAAACAAUAUCGGCCCUCCAAUACGUAGUGGCAGCGAGUGGAAUAAGAUUUGGUUGGACUACAAGUUAAAAUUAAAAAAGAAAAUUGCAGAAAAUCGAAAAGAGAUUGCAGCCACAGGUGGAGGACCAUACACCCAACGCAGUUUAACGCCUUUGGAGCAGGCCGUGGACGAGGUGCUCAGCUUGCAGCAGGCAGUGAAUCCAAGCGGAGCCGCAUUUGGAAGCACUGCACCUGCAAAUUUAGAAGAAGAACAUCUGGAAGAUGUCGAGGUUCACCUUGAACAGGCUGCAAAUGUUAGCAUUACGUCUAGGCAGGCACCUACAAGCAGAGUGGAGGAGCGCGAAAUUUUGCGUAUGAAGGCUUUGGAGAAGCAAGCUGAAACGCAAAAAAGCCUUGUCGGUAUUAUGCAAAAUAUUAAUUCGGUGUGUAAUGAAAUUUCUAGAUACAACAGAAAAGUUUAUUAUAGUUAUUUAUUUGUAUUAUUAUUUUAUUAGUUAUUUUAUUGUAGUUAUGUUAUAUAUAUAAUCACGGUAAAAUUUCAAAACAAUAAUAAUAAUAUGUCAAAUAUAUCAAUUUCGGAUGAA